rnacentral:rRNA from 1 species
UACGUAGGGACCAAGCGUUGUCCGGAAUCAUUGGGCGUAAAGAGCGUGUAGGCGGCCUGUUAAGUCUUGCGUGAAAUCUCGGGGCUCAACCCCGAGCGGUCGUGAGAAACUGGCAGGCUAGAGUGCGGGAGAGGAGAGUGGAAUUCCUGGUGUAGCGGUGAAAUGCGCAGAUAUCAGGAAGAACACCCGUGGCGAAGGCGGCUCUCUGGGACGGUACUGACGCUGAGACGCGAAAGCGUGGGGAGCGAACAGG